UACCCCACUAUGCCUAGCCAUAAACUUUGAUUAUCCGCCAGAGUACUACGAGCCACAGCUUAAAACUCAAAGGACUUGGCGGUGCUUUAUACCCCCCUAGAGGAGCCUGUUCUAUAAUCGAUAAUCCCCGAUAAACCUCACCACCUAUUGCCAGUACAGCCUAUAUACCACCGUCCAGCCCGCCCUUCAAAGGAGAAACAGCAGGCAUAAUAAUCAACAUUAAAACGUCAGGUCAAGGUGUAGCAGAUAAGAUGGAAAGAAAUGGGCUACAUUUUCUAAUUUAGAAAACACGGAUGAUUUUAUGAAAUAACUUCUGAAGGAGGAUUUAGCAGUAAAAAGAAACAAGAGUGUUCUUUUUAAAACGGCAAUAAAGCGCGCACACACCGCC
rnacentral:rRNA from 1 species